rnacentral:rRNA from 1 species
UAAUUGAAGAGUUUGAUCAUGGCUCAGAUUGAACGCUGGCGGCAGGCCUAACACAUGCAAGUCGAGCGGCAGCACAAGGGAGUUUACUCCUGAGGUGGCGAGCGGCGGACGGGUGAGUAA